rnacentral:rRNA from 1 species
AGUGAACGCUGGCGGUAGGCCUAACACAUGCAAGUCGAACGGCAGCACAGUAAGAGCUUGCUCUUACGGGUGGCGAGUGGCGGACGGGUGAGGAAUACAUCGGAAUCUACUUUUUCGUGGGGGAUAACGUAGGGAAACUUACGCUAAUACCGCAUACGACCUACGGGUGAAAGCAGGGGAUCUUCGGACCUUGCGCGAUUGAAUGAGCCGAUGUCGGAUUAGCUAGUUGGCGGGGUAAAGGCCCACCAAGGCGACGAUCCGUAGCUGGUCUGAGAGGAUGAGCAUCCACACUGGAACUGAGACACGGUCCAGACUCCUACGGGAGGCAGCAGUGGGGAAUAUUGGACAAUGGGCGCAAGCCUGAUCCAGCCAUACCGCGUGGGUGAAGAAGGCCUUCGGGUUGUAAAGCCCUUUUGUUGGGAAAGAAAAGCAGCAGGUUAAUACCCCGCUGUUCUGACGGUACCCAAAGAAUAAGCACCGGCUAACUUCGUG